AGAGUUUGAUCAUGGCUCAGGAUGAACGCUGGCGGCGUGCUUAAUACAUGCAAGUCGAACGAAGCGCCCUGUACACUGAUUCUAUCGUGAAUGUAAGUUUUGGGUGACUUAGUGGCGGACGGGUGAGUAACGCGUGGGUAACCUGCCUCAUGCAGGGGGACAACAGCUGGAAACGGCUGCUAAUACCGCAUAAGCGCACGGUAUCGCAUGAUACAGUGUGAAAAGAUUUAUCGGCAUGAGAUGGACCCGCGUCUGAUUAGAUAGUUGGUGGGGUAACGGCCCACCAAGUCAACGAAUCAGUAGCCGGCUUGAGAGAGUGACCGGCCACAUUGGGACUGAGACACGGYCCAGACUCCUACGGGAGGCAGCAGAUAGGGAAUAUUGCACAAUGGGGGAAACCCUGAUGCAGCGGACGCCGCGUGAGUGAUGAAGUAUUUCGGUAUGUAAAGCUCUAUCAGCAGGGUAAGAUAAUGACGGUACCUGACUAAGAAGCCCCGGCUAACUACGUGCCAGCAGCCGCGGUAAUACGUAGGGGGCAAGCGUUAUCCGGAUUUACUGGGUGUAAAGGGAGUGUAGAUGGCAUGGCAAGUCAGAUGUGAAAGCCUGGGGCUCAACCCCGGAACUGCAUUUGAAACUGUCAAGCUGGAGUGCAGGAGAGGAAAGUGGGAAUUCCUGGUGUAGCGGUGAAAUGCGUAGAUAUUAGGAAGAACACCAGUGGCGUAAGGCGGCCUUUCUGGACUGUAACUGGACAUUGAGGCUCGAAAGCGUGGGGAGCAAACAGGAUUAGAUACCCUGGUAGUCCACGCCGUAAACGAUGGAAUACUAGGUGUUGGGGAGCAAAGCUCUUCGGUGCCGCAGCUAACGCAUUAAGUAUUCCACCUGGGGAGUACCGUACGCAAGUAUGAAACUCAAAGGAAUUGACGGGGGACCCGCACAAGCGGUGGAGCAUGUGGUUUAAUUCGAAGCAACGCGAAGAACCUUACCUGAUCUUGACAUCCCCCUGACCGGGCGAUGUAAUGUUUCCUUUCCUUCGGGAACAGGGGAGACAGGUGGUGCCAUGGUUGUCCGUCAGCUCGUGUCGUGAGAUGUUGGGUUAAGUYCCGCAACGAGCGCAACCCUUGUCCUCAGUAGCCAGCGGCCAGGCCGGGCACUCUGGGGAGACUGCCAGGGAUAACCUGGAGGAAGGUGGGGACGACGUCAAAUCAUCAUGCCCCUUAUGACCAGGGCUACACACGUGCUACAAUGGCGUAAACAAAGAGAGGCGAAGGAGCGAUCCGGAGCAAACCUCAAAAAUAACGUCUCAGUUCGGACUGCAGUCUGCAACUCGACUGCACGAAGCUGGAAUCGCUAGUAAUCGCGAAUCAGCAUGUCGCGGUGAAUACGUUCCCGGGUCUUGUACACACCGCCCGUCACACCAUGGGAGUCGGAAAUGCCCGAAGUCUGUGACCUAACCGCAAGGAAGGAGCAGCCGAAGGUGGAGCUGAUGACUGGGGUGAAGUCGUAACGAGGUAGCCGUAGGAGAACCUGCGGCUGGAUCACCUCCUU
rnacentral:rRNA from 1 species